AUUUAGCAGCUUUUGCAGCAGCAGGGUAUUGUCCACCUCCUGGGUAUUGUCCAGCUCCUGGGUAUUGUCCAGCUCCUGGUACUCCUCCUGCCCCUCCGAAGCCUCCUGUUC